UAACUUAGAAGAGCGAUGAGUGGAAGCCUGUAUGUGGGCGCUUGGGCAGCCAUGAGCAAGUAGCGCAACCGACCUGAGUGUUA
rnacentral:ncRNA from 19 species